UAACCCUCACCAUUAGGAUGUCAAAGUCUUGAUGGUGGAUUUGGAUUGUGCCGUAGUUGGCUCAUCCUGAAAUGCAUUAGCUUGCGCUUUUUAGAGUGCUCGGCAUGGUGUGAUAAUUAUCUGCGCCGCCGCCUUAUGCCUCUUCUAUACGUGCUGCUUACAGUCGUCCGAACGGACAAUAACUUAAG
rnacentral:misc_RNA from 1 species